CAGUGAUCUCGUCGGCAUGCAGUUAUAUUUCGAAUCCAGGCGGAUCCUCGAGGGUUAACUAUCCAUUCGCUUCGGGGAAGGGGGGAAUCUCGACUCCAAUAUUGAGGGGGUGAAUCGAUAGCUAGUGGUGAGGUAAGCUCACAGGCGACGAUUCGUAGCUGUGAGAGACGACAGCCACACUGACUGAGACACGGUCCAGACUCUACGGAGCAGCAGUGGGAUUUGGACAUGGGGAAGCAUGAUCCAGCAUCCGCGUGUGUGAAGAAGACUUCGGGUGUAAAGCACUUUGCGGGAAAGAAACGGCGUCGACUAAUACUCGGCGUAACUGACGGUACCCGCAGAAUAAGCACCGGCUAACUACGUGCCAGCAGCCGCGGUAAUACGUAGGGUGCAAGCGUUAAUCGGAAUUACUGGGCGUAAAGCGUGCGCAGGCGGUUCGGAAAGAAAGAUGUGAAAUCCCAGGGCUCAACCUUGGAACUGCAUUUUUAACUACCGGACUAGAGUAUGUCAGAGGGGGGUGGAAUUCCACGUGUAGCAGUGAAAUGCGUAGAUAUGUGGAGGAACACCGAUGGCGAAGGCAGCCCCCUGGGAUAAUACUGACGCUCAUGCACGAAAGCGUGGGGAGCAAACAGGAUUAGAUACCCUGGUAGUCCACGCCCUAAACGAUGUCAACUAGCUGUCGGGACCUUCGGGUUUUGGUAGCGCAGCUAACGCGUGAAGUUGACCGCCUGGGGAGUACGGUCGCAAGAUUAAAACUCAAAGGAAUUGACGGGGACCCGCACAAGCGGUGGAUGAUGUGGAUUAAUUCGAUGCAACGCGAAAAACCUUACCUACCCUUGACAUGUCUAGAAUCCCGAAGAGAUUUGGGAGUGCUCGAAAGAGAACUGGAACACAGGUGCUGCAUGGCCGUCGUCAGCUCGUGUCGUGAGAUGUUGGGUUAAGUCCCGCAACGAGCGCAACCCUUGUCAUUAGUUGCUACGAAAGGGCACUCUAAUGAGACUGCCGGUGACAAACCGGAGGAAGGUGGGGAUGACGUCAGGUCCUCAUGGCCCUUAUGGGUAGGGCUUCACACGUCAUACAAUGGUCGGGACAGAGGGCUGCCAACCCGCGAGGGGGAGCCAAUCCCAGAAACCCGAUCGUAGUCCGGAUUGUAGUCUGCAACUCGACUGCAUGAAGUCGGAAUCGCUAGUAAUCGCGGAUCAGAAUUCGCGUAUGCUA
rnacentral:rRNA from 1 species